GUCGGGCCGGGCCGGGCGGGUUCCUCUGGCGCCCAAGAGAGAGGAGGGGAGGAGGAGGAGGAGGAGGAUUAAGCGGGGAGCGUGAGCGUCCGCUGCCCAGAGAAGUGUCUCUGGCUUCUUGAAGGCUGUGCUCAUAGAGGCAAAACUUCUAAAGAUUUGGAGAAGAUAGAAAACAACCCAAAAGGCUAAAGCACUAUUGUACUUGUAUCCUAGAAUUUCCUGGAAAACUGAUGUUCUGUUGGCCUGAAGGAUUUACUUUUCUUCUAAAAGUCAGCAGUUUACUCCCUCUUCUCUGCAUGUUCCUGAUAUAAGUCACUGGAUGUGAGCUGAGAGUUCUGAGAAGAGAGAGGAAAUGUAACCUCCUUGACUGUAUACAUAUAAUUUUACAGAGAAUAAUCUCCAACAUUUCAAGGACCUCAUAGGGAACUUCCACUAAUGGAAGAACCUGUCAAG